rnacentral:rRNA from 1 species
AUUGAACGCUGGCGGCAUGCUUUACACAUGCAAGUCGAACGGCAGCGCGGGCUUCGGCCUGGCGGCGAGUGGCGAACGGGUGAGUAAUACAUCGGAACGUGCCCAGUAGUGGGGGAUAGCUCGGCGAAAGCCGGAUUAAUACCGCAUACGACCUGAGGGUGAAAGCGGGGGAUCUUCGGACCUCGCGCUAUUGGAGCGGCCGAUGGCAGAUUAGCUAGUUGGUGGGGUAAAGGCCUACCAAGGCGACGAUCUGUAGCUGGUCUGAGAGGACGACCAGCCACACUGGAACGGAGACACGGCCCAGACUCCUACGGGAGGAAGCAGGGGGGAAUUUUGGACAAUGGGCGAAAGCCUGAUCCAGCAAUGCCGCGUGGGUGAAGAAGGCCUUCGGGUUGUAAAGCCCUUUGGGGGGGAAAGAAAAGAAGGAGGCAAAUACCCCGGUGGUAUGACGGUACCCAAAGAAUAAGCACCGGCUAACUCCGUG